UAUAACGUUUUUUAGUACUUUUGUACAAUUGUCACUACUUUUAUGAUUGUCUCCAUGUGGUCGUCCUUUAUUCUUAACUUCGUUUAUAACAUCUCAUGUUCGAGUGUCGGUAGACGUCUGAAACUUGAAAGAAAUACGUGUUAUUAGGGGAGUAGAGGCGACUAGUUGUUCAGAGUGUUUAGAGGGUAGUGGGCGACUUUCAGCUUCAGAUGAGUUUGUGCAUCUUUGGUAUCCCGGUUUGCGUGAGAACUGUUGGGUUACGUAGUUUGCGUAAACACAGCAGAAUAUCAUAUUUUUGUAGCGUUUUGUUGUGAUGGAAGUUUUAUGUGAAAGUGUUCCUAACGAGGACGACUGUGGUAUAACAUACUCCUCGUCCUCUAGUGAAGAUGACGAACGUAGGGACCAAGGCGUUGCGAUGACUUACAUGACUCUUGAUUUAAUUUUAAAUGAUAAUUCGCGAAUGUUUGAAUUUCUGAGAAGUUUUGGUGUGCUUGCGAACAAAUACGUAUGUGCUACGUGUCGGAAGCCUAUGUCCUGUGUGAAGGUUGCAACGACUAGAUGUGGCGAUGGGCUUAUGUGGCGUUGCGCGAAAGACAAAGUGUGGAGGUCAGUUCGUAAGGGUACUUGGUUCGAAAAGUCGAAGAUUAAGCUUAGAAGUAUAGUUCUGUUGACAUACUGUUUUUGUAUGCGUAAAUCUGUGCAAUCCACGUGUCGCAUCACAGGCCUGAGUGACAAAACGGUCGUCGAUUGGUUUUUGUCAUGUAGAGAAAUUUGUUCAGCUCUGAUGAAGAAGAGGGGAAAAAUCGGGGGGCCAGGUGUUGUGGUUGAGUUUGGUGAGUCAUCUUUUGGAAGUAACAAAUAUGAUAAGGGAAGGUGGAUGGCAGAAGUUUGGGUUUGGGGAGCAGUCGUUUGUGGGAAGGACCACGAUGAAUUGGUUUUGAAUGUGGUUGAGAAGAGGGAUGCUAGGACUUUGCAGUGGUUCAUUGAAGAGCAUGUUGAAAAUGGUACUGUUAUAUAUUCAGAUAGAUGGGACAGUUAUGAGGAUGCAGAGGAAUUUGACCUUCAGUCGUUUGCAGCAGAUCACAACUACCAGUUCCGGAAUAAAGUGACUGGUACAAUGGAGAGAUAUUGGAAAGAAGUUAAGAGAGUUCUCGAGGGAGGCAAGAGACGGCGCAGUGGUUUGCAGAGUCAUUUGGAUGAGUACAUUUGGAGGGAAAGUGUGUUUGUGCAAGGGUGUGCAUUUCAUUCGUUCAUGCAGAGUGUUGGAGCCCUUUAUGUUCCACGUGUAGAGGAUUAAGAUGUGGAUUUGCUGUUUGGGUUUGAUUGCAGGAGAGGUGUGUAGUGGGAGGGUCUAGAGAGGGAAAUUUGGUUUUUGUGUACGUUGUUAUUUAUCAACCAUGUGUGUGGCGCAUCUGGCUGUAGGAUUGUGAGUUGGUCGACCUGAAACCUUGUCAUUGUGGAGACAUUUUUAUGAUGCCUACUUUUCUUUCACUUUCUCAGUUUACCAUGCGACACACAAAUGAAGCUUGCUGUUAUCUUUGUGAUUAGUGAUAUUCACUUUUAACUGAAACUAUGGACAACACAUAGUGCCACCUGUAGCAACUGAUGAUGAAUGUGUUAAGCAUUCUAAUAAGAGCCUAGAUUUGAAAAAGGAAAUGUGUGGAUCACCUAUGGUCGAAUAACCAAAAAUAGGUUGAAGAGAAAGGCAUUCAGUCUUCAGCUCGUGAAUAGCAGCAGGAUAACACCAAGAAUGCCAAUCACGAAGAAACUGAUGUAGUGAAUUGUCAGAUUGGGGAGUGCACAAGAAUAAGACCUAUGGCUCUGGAAAAUGUGCACAAAAAGUACCAGAAAUCUCCUCAAAGGAAACUCAGCAGGGUCCAGUCAGGUGUAAUCUUGUGAUUAUAUUCUGGAGGAUUCCUUUCCUGCAACUACCAAACACUUGGGUCCAGGAGCCAGUAUAAAAAUAAAAGACUGAGGAGGGGCAUGCAGUGCCUCUUCAAAUCAAUUGUGAUGAGGCAGAGAAGAACCUUUCCUUCUAAAGAAAAGGAGCCUGGUGCUAGAUAACAAUUAAGGAAGAUAUUUUGAAUAAAUAUAGUAUUGAUAAAAGAUACUAACCCAUUUACCUACCAUUUUACUGUAAUAAAGAACUGAAAUUUUAAAAAAAGCCA